CGCAGCUUGCUCUCGCCAUGCACCUCGCCUGUCUCAUCCUCACCGUCUUCCUGGGACAGCUCCUGGGCACCACGGGACAGGUCACGGUCACCCAGGAAGAUGGACCAGUCAUGGUGAAGCAGGGACACACCUUCCAGACCACCUGCAAAUACCAGACCAGUUAUUAUUCUCCUUCCUUGCUCUGGUACCAGCUGCAGAAAGGCCAAGCCCCACAGCUGGUCUCCUAUCAAGCAGGGCCUGGCUCCAAGCGCAAUGGCCGUAUCACCACGCACCUGAACACCACGGGGAAAUCCAGUGUCCUGCGGGUGGAGGAAGUGCAGGGCUCUGACACUGCCUUGUACCUCUGUGCUGUGCAAGACACCCUGCUGCAGGGAGCUUCCUCAGCUGUGCAACAACCCAGGGGAGAGAGGGGAUGCUCCAAAUAA